AGUAACACGUAGGCAACCUGCCUGUAAGACUGGGAUAACUCGCGGAAACGCGAGCUAAUACCGGAUAACACUUUCUAUCACCUGAUGGAAAGUUGAAAGGCGGCUUUUGCUGUCACUUACAGAUGGGCCUGCGGCGCAUUAGCUAGUUGGUGAGGUAACGGCUCACCAAGGCGACGAUGCGUAGCCGACCUGAGAGGGUGAUCGGCCACACUGGGACUGAGACACGGCCCAGACUCCUACGGGAGGCAGCAGUAGGGAAUCUUCCGCAAUGGACGAAAGUCUGACGGAGCAACGCCGCGUGAGUGAUGAAGGUUUUCGGAUCGUAAAACUCUGUUGUCAGGGAAGAACAAGUACGAUAGUAACUGAUCGUACCUUGACGGUACCUGACCAGAAAGCCACGGCUAACUACGUGCCAGCAGCCGCGGUAAUACGUAGGUGGCAAGCGUUGUCCGGAAUUAUUGGGCGUAAAGCGCUCGCAGGCGGUUCUUUAAGUCUGAUGUGAAAUCUUGCGGCUCAACCGCAAACGUGCAUUGGAAACUGGAGGACUUGAGUGCAGAAGAGGAGAGUGGAAUUCCACGUGUAGCGGUGAAAUGCGUAGAGAUGUGGAGGAACACCAGUGGCGAAGGCGACUCUCUGGUCUGUAACUGACGCUGAGGAGCGAAAGCGUGGGGAGCGAACAGGAUUAGAUACCCUGGUAGUCCACGCCGUAAACGAUGAGUGCUAGGUGUUAAGGGGGUUUCCGCCCCUUAGUGCUGAAGUUAACGCAUUAAGCACUCCGCCUGGGGAGUACGGCCGCAAGGCUGAAACUCAAAAGAAUUGACGGGGACCCGCACAAGCGGUGGAGCAUGUGGUUUAAUUCGAAGCAACGCGAAGAACCUUACCAGGUCUUGACAUCCUUUGACCGCUCUAGAGAUAGAGUUUUCCCUUCGGGGACAAAGUGACAGGUGGUGCAUGGUUGUCGUCAGCUCGUGUCGUGAGAUGUUGGGUUAAGUCCCGCAACGAGCGCAACCCUUAAUCUUAGUUGCCAGCAUUCAGUUGGGCACUCUAAGGUGACUGCCGGUGACAAACCGGAGGAAGGUGGGGAUGACGUCAAAUCAUCAUGCCCCUUAUGACCUGGGCUACACACGUGCUACAAUGGACGGAACAAAGGGAAGCGAACCCGCGAGGUCCAGCAAAUCCCAUAAAACCGUUCUCAGUUCGGAUUGCAGGCUGCAACUCGCCUGCAUGAAGCCGGAAUCGCUAGUAAUCGCGGAU
rnacentral:rRNA from 1 species